rnacentral:rRNA from 1 species
AGCGAACGCUGGCGGCAGGCUUAACACAUGCAAGUCGAGCGGGCAUCUUCGGAUGUCAGCGGCAGACGGGUGAGUAACACGUGGGAACGUACCCUUCGGUUCGGAACAACUCUGGGAAGCUGGAGCUAAUACCGGAUACGCCCUUAUGGGGAAAGGUUUACUGCCGAAGGAUCGGCCCGCGUCUGAUUAGCUAGUUGGUGGGGUAACGGCCUACCAAGGCGACGAUCAGUAGCUGGUCUGAGAGGAUGAUCAGCCACACUGGGACUGAGACACGGCCCAGACUCCUACGGGAGGCAGCAGUGGGGAAUAUUGGACAAUGGGCGCAAGCCUGAUCCAGCCAUGCCGCGUGAGUGAUGAAGGCCUUAGGGUUGUAAAGCUCUUUUGUCCGGGACGAUAAUGACGGUACCGGAAGAAUAAGCCCCGGCUAACUUCGUG